AUUGAACGCUGGCGGCAGGCCUAACACAUGCAAGUCGAACGAGUGGCGGACAGGUGAGUAAUGUCUGGGAAACUGCCCGAUGGAGGGGGAUAACUACUGGAAACGGUAGCUAAUACCGCAUACCCUCGGAUGUGCCCAGAUGGGAUUAGCUUUUAGGUGAGGUAACGGCUCACCUAGGCGACGAUCCCUAGCUGGUCUGAGAGGAUGACCAGCCACACGGGAACUCGGCCACGGUCCGUACUCCUACGGGAGGCAGCAGGGGGGAAUAUUGCACAAUGUGCGCAAUCCUGAUGCAGCCAUGCCGCGUGUAUGAAGAAGGCCUUCGGGUUGUAAAGUACUUUCAGCGGGGAGGCGUUACCCGCAUAAGAAGCACCGGCUAACUCCGUGCCAGCCGCCGCGGUAAUAC
rnacentral:rRNA from 1 species